AGUGAACGCUGGCGGUAGGCCUAACACAUGCAAGUCGAACGGCAGCACAGUAAGAGCUUGCUCUUACGGGUGGCGAGUGGCGGACGGGUGAGGAAUACAUCGGAAUCUACUUUUUCGUGGGGGAUAACGUAGGGAAACUUACGCUAAUACCGCAUACGACCUACGGGUGAAAGCAGGGGAUCUUCGGACCUUGCGCGAUUGAAUGAGCCGAUGUCGGAUUAGCUAGUUGGCGGGGUAAAGGCCCACCAAGGCGACGAUCCGUAGCUGGUCUGAGAGGAUGAUCAGCCACCCUGUAACUGAGGCACGGCCCAGACUCCUGCGGGAGGCCGCAGUGGGGAAUAUUGCACAAUGGGCGCAAGCCUGAUCCAGCCAUACCGCGUGGGUGAAGAAGGCCUUCGGGUUGUAAAGCCCUUUUGUUGGGAAAGAAAAGCAGCAGGUUAAUACCCCGCUGUUCUGACGGUACCCAAAGAAUAAGCACCGGCUAACUUCGUG
rnacentral:rRNA from 1 species